GGCGGCGUAGCUCAGUUGGCAGAGCAAGGGACUCAUAAGCCCUGGGUCAGUGGUUCGAUUCCACUCGCCGCCA
rnacentral:tRNA from 1 species